UCCGUAGGCGGAUUGAUAAGUCAGAGGUGAAAUCCCACAGCUUAACUGUGGAACUGCCUUUGAAACUGUUAGUCUUGAGUUAUAUGGAAGUAGAUAGAAUGUGUAGUGUAGCGGUGAAAUGCAUAGAGAUUACACAGAAUACCGAUUGCGAAGGCAGUCUACUACGUAUAUACUGACGCUAAUGGACGAAAGCGUGGGGAGCGAACAGGAUUAGACACCCUGGUAGUCC
rnacentral:rRNA from 1 species